rnacentral:rRNA from 1 species
GUGGGGAAUCUUAGACAAUGGGCGCAAGCCUGAUCUAGCCAUGCCGCGUGAGCGAUGAAGGCCUUAGGGUUGUAAAGCUCUUUCAGCUGGGAAGAUAAUGACGGUACCAGCAGAAGAAGCCCCGGCUAACUCCGUGCCAGCAGCCGCGGUAAUACGGAGGGGGCUAGCGUUGUUCGGAAUUACUGGGCGUAAAGCGCACGUAGGCGGACUGGAAAGUCAGGGGUGAAAUCCCGGGGCUCAACCCCGGAACUGCCUUUGAAACUCCCAGUCUUGAGUUCGAGAGAGGUGAGUGGAAUUCCGAGUGUAGAGGUGAAAUUCGUAGAUAUUCGGAGGAACACCAGUGGCGAAGGCGGCUCACUGGCUCGAUACUGACGCUGAGGUGCGAAAGCGUGGGGAGCAAACAGGAUUAGAAACCCCGGUAGUCC